rnacentral:misc_RNA from 1 species
CCAUAUCUCUGGACUUGGUUAAGAUACGCCGGAUUUGAACAGUAUUUUGAUAAACAGCGGAAGUCGCCGAAGCGUUUUUAGUAGUUUGUUAUAACAGUAUGUCAGAGGACGAAAGGAAAGAGGGAUUGCUCGAUGUGGAGGGGUUGAAAUCUGAUUUAGACAAUCACUGUCUGGAUAGUGUACAUGCUAAACUAGAUUCAACUGCUCGAGCCUUUGCAAGUGAGCACACUAGGAGUAAUGUUCCACCGCUCGUAUUAGAUGCCCUUAUGGAUGUUGUUCACAUUGGUGUGGAUUUAAUAAAAUCUGAAAAAGAUGGUACAGCUAAAGUUUUGACAGAAAGCUUUAGGACAUUGAGAAAUGCAUGUGCAGGCCAGGUUAAUACUCAGAAUAAGCUUGGCAGCAAUAAAACACUGCUUGAAGACACAGUGAAAAUUCUGGAAUUUGCAUAUGCAUCAGCAGAUGAACAGUGGAUUCCAUGUUUGCAGAUUGGAAUUCAAUUUUUGGGGAAUCUGAUUGUGAAAAAUGAAGAAAACCAAUUGCGUAUUUGGAAGAAAUUCUCGAUGCUUCUACUGAAAUUCUUGCAGCAUGAAAAUCAGAAAGUUGCCAGCUAUUCUUCAAUGGUAAUUUAUAAUGUACUUUUGGGCCAUAAUCAGAUUUCUGAAGAUAUUGAUGCAGCUGGCCUGGAAAUUAUAAUUGACCGUGCCAUUAAUGACUGUGAAUUUGCGUCAUUCAUUGCCGAUAUGCUAGUCCGAACAGAAGGCUAUUUGCAAUCAGUGUACAAGGAACUUCAGUAUAAGCCAAGACUAUUUGUUCUUGAUGCAGUUUUUGAAGCUGUUGGAUGUAAACCUGGAGAAAUUGAUGAACCUGGAAAGUUGCCAACUAUACAACCGGAUACUAUUUUGUUCCUUGCUGAAGAAUUUAAAAGACGUUCAUUUUUCAUCCUUAAAACUGUUGAUAAAUAUAUUGAUGAAAUUGAACCAUUGGAAGUAGCUAAACUACUUGAAGUCAUUGCAUCAGCAUCUGGUAAAAGUCCAUACUUGGAGGAACUGCAGAAAGAUAAAUCACUCCUUAUUGAUUGCACAUUUUUACUGAAAAGCAUGCACAGUCUGGGACAGGAAGGUGAUAAUAAUUUCUCAGUAAUACAGAGGCUAUCUGAGUUAGAUUUGAAAGGAAAGGACACUGCUCUGCAGCAGCAUCCAGCCUUUGGCUUUAAAGUAGACCUUGUACGGCUAAUGGGUAAUCUUUGUUGGAAACACAAAGAAAACAAACACCAGGUUGUUGAGCUUGAAGGUGUGCAGCUCCUCCUCGAUUGCUGUAAAAUUGAUGCAAGAAAUCCAUUUGUGAUGCAGUGGGCUAUCCUUGCAAUUCGUAAUUUGUGUGAAGAUAAUAAGGAAUGCCAGGAAGUCAUUGCAGGAAUGACAAAGAAGGGUGAAAUUGAUGCAACAACACUGAACCAGAUUGGCCUCACUCUCCAUUCAGGAGCUGAUGGUGGGGUUGGCAUUGCACCACUGCCUCGUUGAAUUCACAACAUACUUUUUGGGAAGUGGCUAAUUAUUUGAACUUGUACAAUACGGAUGAGACGGAAUUGUUUUAUCAACUGAUGCCAGAGAAGACGAUGGCCUUUAGAGGAGAAAAGUGUAAAGGAGGGAAGCAGUCUAAAGUACACCUAACUGUUCUUCUCUGCAGCGAUGCGUCAGGGACACAUAAAUUGACAACACUGGUGAUCAGACGAUCAGCAAGCCAACGGUGCUUCAAAUAUGUAAAAAGCUUACCAGUCAAUUACAAGACAAAUCCGAAAGCAUGGAUGACGCCUACUCUUUUUAGCAAGUGGUUGCUUUUGCUUGAUAAAAAGAUGUCAAUGAAGAAUAAGAAAACUGCAUUGCUGGUGGAUAAUUGUAGUGCGAUUAACAUGCCGGCGUUGAAGAAUGUUGAACUAUGCUGCUUUCCCCUGAACUGUACUUUGAUUCUUCAGCCACUAGAUAUGGGGAUAAUUAAUAACUUUAAGACAAAAUACCAUUCACAUUUAGUUAAACACGUGAUUGCAGACAUUGAAAGAAAGGUGAGCAAUCCCUACAGUUUCAAUGUGAAGCAGGCUUGUGACAUGAUUGCUAGCUCCUGGAACAGUGUACAGCUGACUGUGAUUGUGAACAGCUGGAAAAGUGCAAGAAUUUCUGAAAGUGAAGAUGUUGGUGAGAAUGUUGUGGUGGAUGAAAUAACUCAGGAUGACAUUCAAAGUGAUCCGGAGAUUUAUUCAGCAGUUACUGGAAAAACCAUAAAUGCUUUAGUAGUUCAAUACUUGUCAGUGGAUGAUGAAGCGUUGGUGUUUGAAGCAUAUACUGACAAAUCUAUCAUUGAGGAGUUAAAUGAUAAUUAACCUGUUGAAGAUUGUGAUGACAACAGUGACCUGAUAAGUGCAAAUCGCCCUCGUCUGGUGUAGCUAAUAGGUCAGUUGGAAACCAUUCAGCAAGUAGCAUCUUAGAGCCCCAGUCUUUCAGCGCAGCAGUUGAUUGGGUUAGAGGAGAUAAGACAACGUACACCAAAGUAAGGUAUUGUACAGAUACAGUGUUGAUAAAAGAAGUGACCAAAAUGUUUCAUUAUUUGUCUUUUAAUGUUAUUUUUCUUCAGAAAAGUACUACAGUAAUCUACUUCUUGGCCACAAAAACAUGGCUCCCUGCUCCGAGUCACAAUAACAAAACCUCAUUAUAACAAUAACCCUUGUGCAACAAUUUAAUUUUCAUGGUCCCAUGAAAUUAGUUAUAUCGAGGUUUGACUGUAUAAAUUUCCAUUUUACUGUUAUAUGAUAUUUUAAUCCCUUUAGUUAUCCACAGGUUACACUUUUGUUUCACAACUUUUAAGCAAACAUGCUUUCAAAUAUUGACACACAUUUACUAUUUAAAAUACUGAAUUUCACAUUUGCCUCUCUUUGCAUAUACAAACUCAUUCCACUUCUCUUAAGUUAUUCUUAAAACAUUGUAACAUGGUGUCAUGAAUAAGCCUCAGUGCUUUGUAUGCAGAUGCCUUUAUUAAUUGUGCAUCAUAAUCAGAUAGUCCCUUAACAGUUCGGUAAACAUUAAGUGUUUUAACAUGUGUACUGUCUAUAGGAAUGUAACCAAUCAAGGUGCUACUAUCUUGCUGCACACGAGUUGGAAAAUUCACUACUGAGUUCAGAUUGAAACAGCUAAAUUUGAUACCAGUUCAUUCUUCCUGUCAGAAUCCUUUAAAAAUCAGAAUACCCCUGCUUUUCCUUGCAAAUAGAACUCUUGAUGAUGGCACUUUCUGAGAGUGCCUUAAAAUUACAGUUAUACUUUAAGUGUAUAAAAAGGGCCCAUAUCAGUAGUCCCAUUAUGCCAAAAAAAUAGAGAACUGUAUACUUACAUAUAUUUGAAAAUAUGGAAAACCAGUUUGUAUUCAGAAUGAACUUAUCAUCCUUAAAAUAAGUUGAAAGCAUGCUAACAGCAAGCCAUAAUGGUUAUGAAAGUUGA